GCCUCGUUAGAUCAGUUGGUAGAGCGUUAGACUUUUAAUCUAACGGUCAGGGUUCUAAUCCCCUACGGGGCU
rnacentral:tRNA from 1 species